rnacentral:rRNA from 1 species
AGCGGCAGGCUUAACACAUGCAAGUCGAGGGGCAGCACGGGUAGCAAUACCUGGUGGCGACCGGCGCAAGGGUGCGUAACGCGUGAGCAACAUGCCCUAUACAGGGGGAUAAUCCAGGGAAACUUGGUCUAAUAUCCCAUAGUAUUUAGAGGAGGCAUCUUCUAUAAAUUAAAGCUUCGGUGGUAUAGGAUUGGCUCGCGUGACAUUAGCUAGAUGGUGAGGUAACGGCUCACCAUGGCAAUGAUGUCUAGGGGUUCUGAGAGGAAGGCCCCCCACACUGGGACUGAGACACGGCCCAGACUCCUACGGGAGGCAGCAGUGAGGAAUAUUGGACAAUGGAUGGAAAUCUGAUCCAGCCAUGCCGCGUGCAGGAAGACAGCCCUAUGGGUUGUAAACUGCUUUUAUAUGGGAGCAAUAAGGUCUACGUGUAGACUGAUGAGAGUACCAUAUGAAUAAGCAUCGGCUAACUCCGUA